UACCAGCACCCCGAGUGGUCGGGACGCUUAUUGGGCCUAAAGCAUCCGUAGCCGGUUUUACAAGUCCCCCGUUAAAUCCAGCUGCUUAACAGAUGGGCUGCGGAGGAUACUAUAAGACUAGGAGGCAGGAGAGGCAAGCGGUACUCAGUGGGUAGGGGUAAAAUCCGUUGAUCCAUUGAAGACCACCAGUGGCGAAGGCGGCUUGCCAGAAUGCGCUCGACGGUGAGGGAUGAGAGCUGGGGGAGCAAACCGG
rnacentral:rRNA from 1 species